GUAGGGGGCAAGCGUUGUCCGGAUUUAUUGGGSGUAAAGCGCUCGCAGGUGGUUCAGUGUGUCGUGCGUGAAAGACCCCGGCUCAACUGGGGAGGGUCGUGCGAAACGGGUGAACUAGAGGCCAGUAGGGRGAUGCGGAAUUCCGGGGGUAGUGGUGGAAUGGGYAGAGAUCAGGAGGAACACCAGCGGGGAAGGGGGCAUCCUGGACUGGUCUUGACACGCAGGAGCGAAAGCGUGGGGAGCRAWCMGGAUUAGAUACCCGGGUAGUCCACGCUGUAAACGAUGAGUACUAGGUGUUGGGGGUAUYGACCCCCU
rnacentral:rRNA from 1 species